rnacentral:rRNA from 1 species
UACGUAGGUGACCAGCGUUGUCCGGAUUUACUGGGCGUAAAGAGCGCGCAGGCGGUCGUUCAAGUCGAGUGUGAAAGCCCCCGGCUCAACUGGGGAGGGUCACUCGAUACUGAUCGACUUGAAGGCAGGAGAGGGAAGCGGAAUUCCCGGUGUAGCGGUGGAAUGCGCAGAUAUCAGGAGGAACACCGGUGGCGAAGGCGGGUCUCUGGGCCGACAUUGACGCUGAGGAGCGAAAGCGUGGGGAGCGAACAGG